GGUGUUCCGGAGCAGUCGCCGCUGGCUGCUGCUUCCCUGCCUGCUGACGCCCCCGUCGCCUGAAGAUCCGGCACUGAGAGGCCUCUAGGCCUAGGCGCGGCCCGCGGAACCCGACGCGUUGCUGCCGGUGCUGCUGGACAGGCCUCAAAUAUAAAGAAGCAUGGUGGCUGUGCAGGAGACUGUGGUUUGAAAGCUGAGCCCAGAGGGGACCUCUUCUAGAAGCCCUGAAUAAUGUGAAUGGGUGAGUGUUAGGAGCCGAGGAGCAGGACUGGGUUUUCUCCCAUCUGCCUGUGCAAUGUCCUAUUGAAUGCCACUGCUCCUUGGGUUGUACAGUCACAGAGCUCUGCUAUGGUGAACCUGUAGACUGUCACCACCUUCUUUGCCCCUCACAAGGGGCAGCCCUUUCCACUUGGUCCUCUUUGGACCUUAAUUAUAGAAGCUAUUGUUUGUUGUUGAAAGUAAAGGAAGGGUCCCCAGAAAUCUCUUGGCUUCAAGGAAUGGGAUAGAAGAGAUUGGAAAGUGUGAGCCGGUAUCAGAACUACCCUCCACUUAGUUCUGAUUGAGGGUUUAUGAAUUGUAGAGGGCUGGGAGCCCCAAGGUGAGCAGGAACGGUGCUGCUUUAUUUGAAAUGUUUUCUUACCUCAUUCUGUGUCCAGUAAGGGUCCCAGCCUCAUCUGUCUGGCUUGGCCCUGUGUUCCUCCUGUUACCUGCUCCACUACCUAUCUGGUGCGGCUCAUGACUCCAGGUGCUGCCUGCCACUCUGCUUUCACGGUGACCAGUUUCAUUUCAUCUCUUGAUGUUCCUGCUUCUGAAGCCUGUCCAGUUUCCUUUUCCUUAGCUUCUUUUGUUUUUUUCCUAGCUUUUAUGGGAGACUCAGAAGAAUCUUUCUUGUGGCUCCCUCUGAUGGGAUUAGGAUGGGAAGAAAACCUAAUUGUAAAUGAAAGGCAAUGUGAUUCCUAAGCCUUUCUUGGAUAGGACUGCCUUGCUAAUAUGCCUUCCUGUUGUGUCUUACUUUACGAGGAGCUGUAUCUUCCCACUUCCACUUGGAUAUUGCUUCUUAGGACCUAAGCAGAAGAGCAGAAAGGCUAGAGACACAUACAUGGGUGGAGUGGGUCCUGACCCUAUUUCUCUGACACUGGCUGUGCAUGUAUCCUUCCUUAUUCCAGAAGAAAUAAUUUGGACUCUAUGGACUGAUUUGGGUUACAUACUCUAGAAGAUUCAGGAAAUCAUAGUAAUAGGGCCUCAAGACUGGUGAUUACUGCAUUCCUCCCAUAGAGUUGUCCUGGUCAGGAUAGUGGCCUAGUUACAGAUUUGUCUUAAGUCUAAGAAUUGUGAUUACUUUUUAAGAAGUCAAACCUUGACAAGAGCUAAAAUAACUGGGUAAUCAGCCCUUGGCUUUUUAUAGAUAAUUCCUUCUAAGGGAAUAUAGAGGUAAAGGAGGGUGUAAGUGAGAUUCUGGCCUACUUCCAGAUAAUGUCUGGGAAACAAGUGGAGGGUAAGGCCAUGGUCUACUCUUCCUUCAGAGGCGGAGCUCAGAUUGUGGCAUUACCAUUUUCUUUCUGGCCUUUUCUCCUGGUUAGAGGAGGAAGUGGGAAGUUCAUAUUAUCUGUCACUCUUGUUUUUUGUGUUCUGUCCCCCACUAUUAGGGCAGUAGCCCCCUGCCCUGGAUGGCUAUAAGGUGGGCUGGAACAAACUAACUCCUUAUGUUUUGGUGGAGAUAAUGCUCCCUACCAUAGUUGACAUUGGUUAGAAACUCUCCCUUUCCCUACUUAUCUUCCCUUUAACAGCAAAAUUCCUAUCCUUUCCUCCUCAAUUAAAUGUAUUGAUCACCCUGUAAUUCUAUUAUGUAUCUGUGUGUGUGUGUGUGUAUGGGGGUAAAGGGGUUCUCUACAAAUUUUUUGUGGUUUGUGGCUUAUUCUUCCAACAUUAGUUCCUAUCACCGCAUGCACAGGGGCCAUUGCCUAGCAUUAUCGCAUGCUGGGAUCAUUGGGGAAGUGUAGUGAAACUCACCCCUGUCCUUCGUUUUGGAGAGUCUUAUUUUUGCAUAAGUAGUCCGUCCUAUGCAGAUUGCUAACUGUGUAUGCCCUUUGCCCCUAUGGCUGCUGGUGUAUAUAAACUGCAUCUCCCCCCUUGGUAAACAGUAAUAAUAAAAUUUUAAAAAAUGA